UUGGAGGGCAAGUCUGGUGCCAGCAGCCGCGGUAAUUCCAGCUCCAAUAGCGUAUAUUAAAGUUGUUGCAGUUAAAAAGCUCGUAGUUGAAUUUCGGGAUCAAUACGUCGGUCGUGCCUUCGGUACGCACUGGCGUCGUUGAUUUCUCCCUUCUGAUGAACCAUGAUGUCAUUAAUUUGGUGUUGUGGGGAGUCAGGACUGUUACUUUGAAAAAAUUAGAGUGUUUAAAGCAGGCAAACGCUUGAAUACAUUAGCAUGGAAUAAUGAAAUAGGACGUUCGAACCUAUUUUGUUGGUUUCUAGGUACAACGUAAUGAUUAAUAGGGAUAGUUGGGGGCAUUAGUAUUCAAUUGUCAGAGGUGAAAUUCUUGGAUUUAUUGAAGACUAACUACUGCGAAAGCAUUUGCCAAGGAUGUUUUCAUUAAUCAAGAACGAAAGUUAGGGGAUCGAAGACGAUCAGAUACCGUCGUAGUCUUAACCAUAAACUAUGCCGACUAGGGAUCGGAUGAAGUUAAUUUUUUAAUGACUCAUUCGGCGCCUUACGGGAAAC
rnacentral:rRNA from 1 species